rnacentral:pre_miRNA from 1 species
UACCGAAUGUUUGGCGUUAAUAUGUUUGUGGUUCGUGUGGUUAAUGUAAAUCGAAAAAACGAACUACAAACAUAUUAACGCCAAACAUUCGGUAGAAU